rnacentral:tRNA from 1 species
GCCCAGGUGGCGAAAUUGGUAGACGCACUGUGCUUAGAACGCAGCGUUCGUAAGGACAUGCUGGUUCGACUCCAGUCCUGGGCACAA